UGGGACCGCCUCUGCUAAAGAGGAGGAAGGAAUGGGCAACGGUAGGUCAGCAUGCCCCGAAUUAUCUGGGCUACACGCGGGCUACAAUGGGUGGGACAAUGGGUAUCGACACCGAAAGGUGAAGGCAAUCUCCUAAACCCAUCCGUAGUUCGGAUUGUGGGCUGCAACUCGCCCACAUGAAGCUGGAAUCUGUAGUAAUCGUGUCUCAAAAUGGCACGGUGAAUAUGUCCCUGCUCCUU
rnacentral:rRNA from 1 species